rnacentral:lncRNA from 1 species
CUCCAGCGACAACUUCAUCCUACUUCAUUGCUCCCAGACAUCUCAUUGCUGGUGACGCUUCCUUUCAAGGGCUGCCUGGUGAUCAGAGGUGAGGACCUUAAUCUUUUAUAUUUAUGAAGGAAACCCAAGCUUUUAAGAAAUUCAAUUUGGAAUAUUACCCCAUCCGUGUUGAUCCUGUCACCAGCUCAUGUCUGCCAUCGUCGCUUGCCAGCCUUAAUUGCAGGUCCCGGCACCACCACUAGUGUAGCCGUCACGUCACAAUCGGCCGCCACAAUCACUGCCAUGGCCACUACUCAGAAGGCUACCAAAUAAGUUUUGGAUUUUAAUUUCCAAGAAAAAAAUGAAGUCAAUGAAGUCUGCCAUCAGAUACUUGGGGUCCUCGUCAAGGGGACCAUUAUUGUGGAACUGGACAUGAAGGAAAUUAAUGGACGUAAGGCAGAGUGGAAAAAUGGCUGCUUAAGGCCGAUUUGGAAUUUAUAUACAGAAGUCAGAUUUGGCAGCUAAAAUAUCUGCCAGAUGUAGGUUUCCAUCCAGACAUGCUCCCGUAGAAGGUCUUAUCUUAAUACCAUGUAUUUAAAUGUAAAUAAUGGCUUCUUGAAUGGAUCUCUUGUAAAAUGGCUUUUCUAAAAUCAUCUUUUCUGCAGCAUGAUGCUGUAAACAGCAGGUAAAAUGGCCUUUAUAGAUCCUAAUCCCUGGC